UACGAAGGGGGCUAGCGUUGCUCGGAAUUACUGGGCGUAAAGGGCGCGUAGGCGGAUAUUUAAGUUAGAGGUGAAAGCCCAGGGCUCAACCCUGGAACAGCCUUUAAUACUGGAUAUCUUGAGUUCGGGAGAGGUGAGUGGAACUCCGAGUGUAGAGGUGAAAUUCGUAGAUAUUCGGAAGAACACCAGUGGCGAAGGCGGCUCACUGGCCCGGUACUGACGCUGAGAUGCGAAAGCGUGGGGAGCAAACAGG
rnacentral:rRNA from 1 species